GACAGUAAUAUUGAAACACUGGUUCCUCAUACGAUCACUGAAGUUAAGCAAUGUCAAGCCCGUUUAGUACUUAGAUGGGUGACUGCUUGGGAAUACCAUGUGCUAUA